GUGCCACUUCACUCCAGCCUGGGUGACAGGGUGAGACUCUUCCUCAAAAAAAAUAGUUGAAUAGAUGAUUUAUGAUAUAGUCAUAUAAUAAAUAAAUACUAUACAACAAUGAGAAUAAUUGACCUACAGCUAAACACAAAAAUAUUGACCAAUCUUGCAUUUACUCAAUCUUAUAUUUACGCAAUCUACUAUUGAGUAAAGGGCACUGGAUACUAAAAAAUACAUAUUUUAUGAUUUCAUUUAUAUAAAGUACCAAAACAGGAUAGUAAUCUUCAUGAGCUUAGGAGGUGGUGGUAGUCUCUGCUUGGGAGCAUGACAAGGGCUUCAUGGCAACUGUUAUAUUCUGAAUUUUCUUUCAGUGCUGGCAUUCUGGAUAUGUUUCAUUUGUGCAAAUACAUAGAGCUAUAUAUUUAUGAUGCCCACUUUUCUACAUGUGUAUUUAUGCUCCAAAGUAGUUUACUUAAGUCAUCUAACAAUAUCUAGAAAUAAGUCUAACAAAAUAUGCAAGGACUAUACACCAUGAACUAUGCAGUAUUUCUGAGAGAAUUAAAAGGGCUAAUAAAUGGUAGGACAUGUCAUGAUUAGGGAUUGGAAGACUGAUUAUUUUAUGAAUCUCAUUUCUCCACAAAUUUAUCUAUAGAUUGAAUGUAAUUGCAAGACUCAUACAUAGAACGAGUUGAUUUAUAGAAACUAUAGUGAAAGGAUAAUCUUUUCAAUAAACGGUGUUAGUAUCAUGGGAUUCUUGGGUUAUCACUUCACCAGCUGGAAACCUCUGUGGCCAGUGGAUCCUUUGCCUGAGUUUUUCUUGGGCUCACUGGGCUUGUUUCACCCCUUCAGUCUGGCAGGCUGCGCUUGGCUUACGCUACCCUCCUGGAUCCCGUGCCUGCCAAGAGUGAGCUGAGUGGGGAGGGGUGUGUGAAUGAGUGAGCAUGGGGCCCAGCCACUGCUCAUAGCCAGGCAUGCUGGCUGUGGCAGGGUGGGCAGCUCCAGGCACUGGCAUGGGCGCUGGCUCCCUGCGAGGCUGAAACUGGACCAGGCGAACCAUAAGCAGCUUCCAUGGCUGGCACCAGGGAAUGCGGUGGUGCCCAGAAGCUUGGAAUCACCAGAAAGUGUGAAGCCCCAAAGAGGUUAUCACAGCCCUGGUUUGGGGAACUUCUAGGUCUGGGAUCCCCAAAGGGCCACAGCUCUUCUCUCCUUCUCUCUUCUCUCCUUCUCUCUUCUCUCCUUCUCUCUUCUCUCCUUCUCUCUUCUCUCCUUCUCUCCUUCUCUCUUCUCUCCUUCUUGUUGCCCACAACAUGGUGAGCAAGGGGGGUGUUUCAGCCUUGUUUGUGUUACAGCUCUUUCAGCUCUGCCAUUUGGCAAGUCCCUAGUUUUUGUCCUGUGUCCAGGAAGAAUGAGGUACCUAGACAAGUGGAGGGUGAGCAAGAUAAAGACGAGCUUUUUUGAGCAGUAGAACAGCUCAGAGGAAACCCACAGUGGGUAGCUUCUCUCCUCAACUGGGAUGUCCUGAUGAGUGUUCAGCUCUCAGCAGAGAGGAGACCCUGGAGUAGGUAGCUCCUAUCUGCAGCUGGUAGUCCCAAUGUCUGCUCAGCUCUCAGCAGAGAGGAGAACCCAGAGGGGGUAGCUCCUCUCCACAGGCAGGUCAUUCUGUCAUCUCCUCAAGUCUGGCUGAGCCCAGGGUUUUUAUGGGCUUCAGCGGGGAGGAAGUGUGUGCUGAUUGGUCCAUGGGUGGCCAUGGGUGGGCCUGGAAAAGGCAACAUAAGUUCCCACUCUAGUCUGCAGGACUGGCAGCCCAGCUCCCAGGCUUCAGGCCUUCCCUGGCUUGAAGGUGGGGCUUCACCAAGGGCCUACCUGUUUCCACCCUGGAGCCUGUCUGCCUCCUGCUGCUGCUUAUGUAACCCAGGCUUUUACUGCUGAGGGGUGCCUAUAAGCCAGCAUUGAGCUGCCCUCAGCCCGGCCUCAGCCUCCCUCUGGUGCUCGGUGGUGCACAAAGUCUAGACGGGGACAAGGCAGCAGGGGCUAGUGUGUCAGGGCUGCCCUAAGUGUGUGCACACCUGGCCAGGUUGCAAUAGUACCUAGUCUUGGCCUCAAUUUUGCUCCAGAUCAGAGCAGGCACAGGAACAGAGAGAGGCCAGGAAACAGGAGCAGGCAUUUCCAAGCCUGCUGGGACAAGAGGGACUUCCUGGGCCCCUGGGAGUGCAGAGAUGCCUGGGUGUGCAGCUGCAGCUUGGGUGGCUGCAGCUGCGGCUUGGGUGGCUGCAGCUGCAGCUUGGGUGGCUGCAGCUAUGCCUGGAGCUCAUGCCUGCUCCCACUCCUCAAGAGCACAGGGAUGUCCAGGCUUGGAGCCAUGGCUGGGCAGCUGCAGCUGCGCCCAGGGAGCAUGAGGCUCCUGCCCUGCCAACUCAGGAGCGGGCUGGCCUUCCACCUGUUUCUGGCUCCCUCCGGCUCCAUGGAGCAUGCAACCCUGGCCACACCUCCCCAGUGAAGCCAGUGUCAUGGCAGCAGCCACUCUAGAUGGGCCAUGGCUGCCAUCAUUAGGGCUUUACUAUACACAUGUUAAAAAGUAAUUAAACGUGGUUUCUACCCUCCUGACAUUAAAAACUGAUCAAUUCCAGAUGGAUUAUAGAUAUAGUUGUGGAAGACAAAACAAUCAAACUUUUAGAAAAAAGUCAAAGACAUUAUUUUCAGGUUUUCCAAGUUGGGAAAUGUGAUACAAAACUAUUCAGUUUAAAUAAAAAAUCAAUACCUUUAACUAUUAAAAUUGAGGACUGCUAUUUAUCCAAAGAUACAAUGAAGAGACUGAAAGGCAAAGAUUAAAAAAAGACUAAAGAUUUAAAAAAUUAAAUAUGUAUACACACAUGAAUGGAAUAUGUGAAAAAGUCUCCAAGUAAAGAAAAAAGGACAAUUCACUAGAAAUAGAAGAAAAGUCUUAAACAGUCUCAUCCCAAAGAAGAUAUCCUAAUGAACAGUGGACAUGAACAGGGGCUCAACUUCGUUAAUUAUCUCUCAUUCUCAAGGAAAAGCAAAUUAGACUGUGAAUAAAAUCUCCAUGUACCCACUAGGAUGACUACAAUUCAAAAGGCUGACCUAUCCAGGUGAAGAUGAGAGUGUGCAGCAUUGGAAAUUCUUACACAUUGCUGGAGAUUUAGAAGCUAAAGAAAGAGGACAAAUGAUUUGGAAGCAAAGAUAAGAAGGAAGAAGGGAAGCAUACAUCACAAUGAAACAUCUAUUCAAGGAGAGCUCCUAUAACUCCGGCUCAUAACAUAUAGAAACGUGAUAUACUUAAGAACAGGACAAGAGAGGACAGUAGGAGCGAAGCUGCAUUGGAAUAAAGAAAUGACAGCAGAUGUUAACUUGAACCCCCAGGAAUACAUUAAGAGAACCUGAAACUAUAGUCCACGCUUUUGGACUUACAGAUAGUGUAUUGGACUUUUCUGGCCUCACAGAGUGGUGAGUUUUCAGUCCUCAUGGAACUGGCAUCCAUUAGGACAAAUUUUGCUAUGGGUCAGUCACCAAUAAAACCAGAUGAGCGUCUUCUUCCAUUUAAAUUUUUGUCCUCAGAGCCCAGGCUUCAUCCAUAGAACAUUUUUUUUUUCUAAUGUUCUUCCUGCUGGAUAGUGAAGAUUACUGGGUCUACAUUUGGAGAGGGUCAGCUUUCAGGUUGGAGGCACCAGACAUGAGGUGCACAGGCAUUACCUUCUUACAGACUGUCACCAGUCUCAUGAAGUCAUCUUGUUACUGCAGCUUGGACCCUGAUUUCUUGGCUCGUGUGUAAAUAGAAAUUAACACUGGACCAAACAGAAAUUUUUAUCAGGCAACAUUUAAUAGGCUUGCAGCCUGAGCAAGUCAAGGGAGCAACAUACAGGAAAGGGAUCCCCGCUGCUAGCUCUCCAAAGGGCUUAGCUCUUGUCAUUUAAGGAAGUUGAGGAGAAAAAUAACUGAUAUGUAGGCAUGUAGAGGUGGGGAGUUUUUAGCACCAAAGAUGACUCGGUCCUUCAGAAGUCACUCUGAGGAACAUUUGUCUUGAAUAAAACUUCAUUUUAGAGGCACCUUCAAAAAGAAAGAGUAUAAAAUUUCUCUGGCCCAGUGGGUAGCACUUUUGGUUGAUAUGCAGAAGUCUCCAAAUGCAAUUCUGAAUAAAAAACUGCUUCACUAACAAAUUCAUUGGUCAAAGCCAAUGAGCAAUUUGAAAAAAUUAAGUAGUAACAAAUGACUAAUUUUAUUAGUAAAUCCUGCUCUUCUUUGCCUACAUCUACCUCCCCAUAUUCAGCUUUCUCUAUUCCCCCUUAUAUUUCUGAUUUCCCUGCUUCAACACCUCAUACUCCUUCCUCCUCUUACUCAGACCUCUAGCUUUUCCCAACUCUCCUGAAACCCCCAAAUGCCAAGGACCUCUGAUACAGGUCACAUUUGACAGUUUACUUUAAAAGUAAACGGGCUUCCAAAGGUACCCAUGUUGGGGAGGUCUUGUAAUUCAUGGCAACAUCCUGUCCCUGAGUAAAAAAUACUAACAUGAAGAGUCCUCUUCCCUUCUUCUAAACUUUCCUAUAUGUUCCUAUAAAAGCCUUCCAACUUGUAGCAGAUUCUGGAAAACUCCCAACUGUGUUGGUAUGUCUUCCAGGAUUUAUCCUCAUAUUUGUCUUCCAAUAUACUUUUAUCAAAUUUUUUGUCUCAGCCUUAUUUUGGUGGAUACUUCUAAAAAUUCUUUCUCAUGAUCCAGGUACGAAGGGAACUAUAAAGUUUAAACUUUGUACUGAAUUAAGCUGAAUUAAGAACUCUAAUAAAAGAUUUCCCUAAACUCAAAUAAGGUUGGCAAAUAUUCAUAGAAUUUAGAAUUCUUUUGGAUGAACAUGACCCAGGGUUACCUGAUUGUUAUAGAUGGAAUGUUUUUGCUUUGUUCCCCCAAACUCAACUGUUGAAGCCCUAACUUCCAGUGUGACAGUAUUUGGAGAUGGGCUCUUUGGGAUGUAAUUAGGGUUAAAUUAGCUCAUGAGGGUGAGGACAUCCAGAUGGAAUUAAUGACCUUAUUAGAAGAAGAAGAGAUCUUUCUCUUCUUGUCUGUGAAAAAGCAGAGAGGAAAGGCCAGAUGAGGACACAGUAAGUAGGCAGCCAUCUGCAGCCCAAGGAGAGAACACUUCCCACCCUCUAGAACUGUGAGAAAAUAAAUUUCUGUUGUUUAAGCCACCCAGUAUAUGGGUUUUUUUUUUCGGACAGCCCUAGUGUUGCAGGACUUUUCCUUAGUUCAGCUAAAGACGGGGUUCUUGUCCACCCCACGGACAUGAAAAUUUAGGCUUCCAGGAGGUUUAAAGGGUGAGUGAAGCAGGGUUUUAUUGGGUGAAAAGGGAAAAAAGAGGGGAAAUAGGGACUCUCGCAAAGCCAGAGUCCCUCUGCUAGAGGGCUUUCCGCCAGGCACUUGAAUCUGAGGUUCCACCCAGGAAGAGGAGGGGCCAGGCUCGGGCUCCUCCCUGCUGCAAAAGUCCUGAAUUUCCCCAGGCUCCACCUCAGCUUGUUGGAGCCUGGCUUGUUGGAGUUUCUCCAGGACCCCCUCCCACCUGGCUGUCUCACUAGCAGUCUAACACACUGACCUAUGUGUGACCUAUAUCAACUUGUAGUCAUGUUGGUUAAAAUCUGAAAUGCUAAAUCCUGGAUGACAAAAGCUGGUUAUGCUUUCCUGGAAAGGGAGCUACAGAAUCCUUCUUUCCACAGUAAAUCUGAGGGUCAAAAAAAAAUUUUUUUUUAAAGGCUGUAAGAGUAGGUUGAAGUCUCCUAAAAGCCAGACCUGAAACAUUUCCAACAAAAAUUAAUUGGGCCGUAAUUCAGUCAUUCAAACUGAUGAAACUAUAGGAGAUUUUCAGAAUAGACUAGAAAAUACCUUCCAACAUUUGUAAGCUAAGGAAGAUGUCCAUGUAAUAGCUACUCUUUCAUCUCAUUUCGCCAAUGGAGUUAAGCCUGAAAUUGGAGACCACAUUUGAAAACCAAUUAGAAUGGAAAUAGCCCCUUUAUCUGCAGUACAAUACCUGGCACAGCAUUUUGAAAGGGCUUUAGAACAAAAAUGAAGCAGGUUCCAAAAUAAACUUGUAGCACUACUAAUCCAACAGCUAGGUUACCCAUUUUAUAACAAGUGACUUGUUGACAAGGACAUGUUUGGAUAUUGUUAAUAGGACAUAGGAAAGAAGAUUGUCCCAUCUUACAAGAGAAAAACAAAGAUGGAAAAAUUCCUAAUUCAGAUCAAUCGAUGUUCUCACAAAAACCAGAAAAGGAAAAACCAUCCAAUAUUCUGCCUUAUGCUAAACAUUCACAGUAAAUACAAUACUAAUAUAGAUGGUCAACUUCAUCAAUUCCUGGUAAAUAAGGUUGCUACUCUUUCUACAUUAAACCCUGCCAUCUUUGCUCAACCUUUUCUUUGGAGUAAGCGUAUUACACAGGUGGUAUUUCCAAUACUCCACAGAUUUUCCCUGUAUCUCAGCCCUUAACUGUAACUAUUGGGGUUUGACUGCAUAAACAUUCCUUCCUACCUUGUGAUACCACCCCUGCAUGUUUAAUAGGAAGAAAUUUACUUUGCAAAUGGAACUACAAUAUUAAAUGCACUUCAAAGGGACUAUUUUUUAAGGUUGCAGAGAACACUUCUAUUCAUAAUCAAGUUGUGUCUGCUCAAGAUGCAAUUUUGCCUUCUCCAUUAUAUUUGAUACAUAUUCCAGAUAAGGAUCUUGACCUUAUAUCUGGCUGGAUCUUUGUGUUUUUAUUUCACCCCUAUAAUGUCCUGGAGCUUUCCAAGUUACCUUCUGAGAACAGACAAUUAGAAGGAAAGAUAACAAGAAACUUCUGCAAUAGACUAGACAAACUAAAUCUGAAAGUCCUGAGUGCAAAGCAGUGGAUUAAAACUAUAAAGAAUUUUCUGGGAGCUGUGCUAGUAGUUGCAUUAACAUCUUCAAAUUUUAUUUUUGGAAGAAAUCUUAGAUACCAUUUGUUGUUGUUUUUAAAAGUCCAUCAUAUCAUGUGAAAUAUAAUCUCACUUACUUCAGGUUUGGGUGACAUUUUGAAAAGCCAAGAAUGAGGAGGAAUCAUAUUGUUUUUAAGUCUAACUUCCUCAAAUAUUUGACAUACUCAUAUUGGAACAGGUUAGUCACUUAGAGAUGCAGCAAGUGAAGGAAAGGACAUGUCUUAUAUACUGAUGAGUACCUAGCACCAAAUUAAGGAUGUAGCCUUCCAUAUGUAUUUUGAUUAAAAGAAUGAAACUGGGAGUGGAGCAUGAAGGUCAGAGAUGAUGUUCUUAUUAAAGGCUUUUGAGAUGUAUUAAUAAAUUUGCCUCCAUCCCUUCACCACCCCCCGAAACAGGUGGAAUAAGGCUUUUUAAUAUUAACUAAAUUGAGAGGUGGAAAAUGGCAUGCUAUUUUCAUAAGUUUUUAAAUAUUACUGAGAUGAAUUAUAUUUUCAUGUAGUAAUUUUUAAAUCAUACUUUCACCUUAUAAUACAUAAGUUUCAUUGCAGCAUUGAACCCUGGGUUAGUGUUAUAAUAAAAAGUAUAUUGCAUUCAGGCUGGGUGCAGUGGCUCACGCCUAUAAUCCCAGUGCUUUGGGAG
rnacentral:lncRNA from 1 species